rnacentral:rRNA from 1 species
UACGUAGGGGGCAAGCGUUGUCCGGAUUCAUUGGGCGUAAAGCGCGGGCAGGCGGCCCGCUCAGUCGGCCGUGAAAGCGCCGGGCUCAACUCGGCGAGGUCGGGCGAUACUGGCGGGCUCGAGGCUGGUAGAGGGCGGUGGAAUUCCGGGUGUAGUGGUGGAAUGCGUAGAGCUCCGGAGGAACACCAGUGGCGAAGGCGGCCGCCUGGGCCAGUCCUGACGCUGAGGCGCGAUAGCGUGGGGAGCAAACGGG